UCCGGUUGAUCCUGCCGGAGGCGACCGCUUUUGGAGUUCGAUUAAGCCAUGCGAGUCGAGAGCCUUAGGGGCUCGGCAUACUGCUCAGUAACACGUGGAUAACCUGCCCUAUUGUCUGGAAUAACCUCGGGAAACUGAGAACAAGGCCGGAUAGCCCACAAUGCCUGGAACGGUUUGUGGGUGAAGAUAGGAUGGGUCUGCGGCGUAUCAGGUUGUAGGGGGUGUAAUGGACCUCCUAGCCAUCGACGCGUACGGGUGUUGGGAGACAUAGCCCGGAGAUGGAUUCUGAGACACGAAUCCAGACCCUACAGGGUGCAGCAGGCGCGAAAACUUCACACUGCAGGAAACUGUG
rnacentral:rRNA from 1 species